rnacentral:rRNA from 1 species
UACGGAGGGAGCUAGCGUUGUUCGGAAUUACUGGGCGUAAAGCGCACGUAGGCGGCUUUUUAAGUCAGAGGUGAAAUCCCGGGGCUCAACCCCGGAACUGCCUUUGAAACUGGGAAGCUAGAAUCUUGGAGAGGCGAGUGGAAUUCCGAGUGUAGAGGUGAAAUUCGUAGAUAUUCGGAAGAACACCAGUGGCGAAGGCGACUCGCUGGACAAGUAUUGACGCUGAGGUGCGAAAGCGUGGGGAGCAAACAGG